GACGAACGCUGGCGGCGUGCUUAACACAUGCAAGUCGAACGGAAAGGCCCUGCUUUUGUGGGGUGCUCGAGUGGCGAACAGGUGAGUAACACGUGAGUAACCUGCCCUUGACUUUGGGAUAACUUCAGGAAACUGGGGCUAAUACCGGAUAGGAGCUCCUGCUGCAUGGUGGGGGUUGGAAAGUUUCGGCGGUUGGGGAUGGACUCGCGGCUUAUCAGCUUGUUGGUGGGGUAGUGGCUUACCAAGGCUUUGACGGGUAGCCGGCCUGAGAGGGUGACCGGCCACAUUGGGACUGAGAUACGGCCCAGACUCCUACGGGAGGCAGCAGUGGGGAAUAUUGCACAAUGGGCGGAAGCCUGAUGCAGCAACGCCGCGUGCGGGAUGACGGCCUUCGGGUUGUAAACCGCUUUCGCCUGUGACGAAGCGUGAGUGACGGUAAUGGGUAAAGAAGCACCGGCUAACUGCGUG
rnacentral:rRNA from 1 species